rnacentral:lncRNA from 1 species
CGUUAUUUUAUUCUAGAAAACAAAAUAAUAAUUAUUUUAUCAUGUAAAUUAAUUAUAUUGGAAUAAUUAUCAUUGUAUUUUUAUAGUUUGAUCAAAUUAAUUAAAAGGAGCAUAUAGUUUUAAAAUUACAUAAAAUUAUCCUAAUGGAUUUAUUCCUUAAUUGCAUUGGACCUCUAUUUUAUUUUGUGUUUUUUAUCUUAGUCUUUAGGUUCAUAAUUUCUUAUAUCCAAAUUACUUUAUUAUUGUUGGAUUUUCAAUUGAAAAAAUAAAAAAAUAAAAUUUUCACCAACAUGGAUCACGUUUAAAUGAAAAAAACAAUAAUAUUAAGGAGAAAUAAAUACAUUUUAUUUUCUUUGCAGCAAAAAUGCGAGAUCAUUCGUCUUGGUUGGAUUAUAACAAAUCACAAACCGUCUAAGUGAUCGCUCUCUGACAAUGUCCACAUAGAAUAGCGAUUGAAAAACCUUAGAACUGUUCUAAAGGUUUGAGAAGGGGAAAGGUUUUAAGAGGUAGCUCUCUUUUUUUUUCUACAAAUUCUGAAAACCCUAAAAAAUGUUUCUCUAUUGGGAGCUCACAGCCCUUUUUUACUGAAACCCUAGGGUUUAGGUUUCAGUAUAACAACCUUUUAUUUAUUUAUUUAACUAAUUAAAUAAAUAAAUUACAACUAUGAUCCAAAACGUUAAUAAACAGGCUAUAUAAAUUUUUAGACAAUUUUAAAUUAAAUCUCUACUUAAUUAAUUAGAUCAAAAUCAUAAUUUUUUUAAAUUAUAAUUUUAUCCCAAUAUUAAUUUAUAUGCAAUAAAGUCCUACUUGAUUUAACCUCUCGUUUUAUUUUCUCAUACAAUUCUUUGUGUGAUGAGAUUCGAAAUAUAUUGGCAACAAAUAUAAUUAAUUAAUUUGAAGAUCAAUAACAUUAUCUAUCAACAUGUUAAGACUAUCCAAAUAUUCGGAAUGUCAAAAAUAGUUCUUUUUAGUGCAUGGUUUGUCGGUAUAAUUAAUAUUUAUUCAUCACAAAUGUGUCUGUAAUGUUAAAUAACAAUACAUUUUCUUUCUUGAUAAUAAUUUGUGGGCUAAGCAUGAAAGUAAACUUUACAUUUAGAUGUGAUGUUCAUAUAGAAAUAUAGUCGCUUA